GAUGAACGCUGGCGGCGUGCCUAAUACAUGCAAGUCGAGCGAACAGACGAGGAGCUUGCUCCUCUGACGUUAGCGGCGGACGGGUGAGUAACACGUGGAUAACCUCCCUAUAAGACUGGGAUCACUUCGGGAAACCGGCGCUAAUACCGGAUAAUAUAUUGAACCGCAUGGUUCAAUAGUGAAAGACGGUUUUGCUGUCACUUAUAGCUGGAUCCGCGCCGCAUUAGCUAGUUGGUAAGUUAACGGCUUACCAAGGCAACGAUGCGUAGCCGACCUGAGAGGGGGAUCGGCCACACUGGAGCUGAGACACGGUCCAGACGCCUACGGGAGGCAGCAGUAGGGAAUCUGCCGCAAUGGGCGAAAGCCUGACGGAGCAACGCCGCGUGAGUGAUGAAGGUCUUCGGAUCGUAAAACUCUGUUAUGAGGGAAGAACAAAUGUGUAAGUAACUAUGCACGUCUUGACGGUACCGAAUCAGAAAGCCACGGCUAACUACGUG
rnacentral:rRNA from 1 species